rnacentral:rRNA from 1 species
CCUACGGGAGGCAGCAGUCGAGAAUCAUUCACAAUGGGGGAAACCCUGAUGGUGCGACGCCGCGUGGGGGAAUGAAGGUCUUCGGAUUGUAAACUCUUGUCAUGUGGGAGCAAAUUAAAAAGAUAGCACCACAAGAGGAAGAGACGGCUAACUCUGUGCCAGCAGCCGCGGUAAUACAGAGGUCUCAAGCGUUGUUCGGAAUCACGGGGCGUAAGGCGGGCGUAGGCUGUUUCGUAAGUCGUAUGUGAAAGGGGCGGGCUCAACCCGCGGGCGGCACAUGAUACUGCGGAGCUAGAGUAGAGGAGGGGGAACCGGAAUUCUCAGUGUAGCAGUGAAAUGCGUAGAUAUCGGGAGGAACACUCGUGGCGAAGGCGGGUUCCUGGACAUUAACUGACGCUGAGGCACGAAGGCCAGGGGAGCGAAAGGGAUUAGAUACCCUUGUAGUC